rnacentral:rRNA from 1 species
UACGGAGGAUGCGAGCGUUAUCCGGAUUUAUUGGGUUUAAAGGGUGCGUAGGCGGGUUAUUAAGUCAGUGGUGAAAGCGUGUGGCUCAACCAUACCAAGCCAUUGAAACUGGUGACCUUGAGUGCAAACGAGGUAGGCGGAAUGUAACGUGUAGCGGUGAAAUGCUUAGAUAUGUUACAGAACCCCGAUUGCGAAGGCAGCUUACCAGCAUGCAACUGACGCUGAGGCACGAAAGCGUGGGUAUCAAACAGG